rnacentral:rRNA from 1 species
AUUGAACGCUGGCGGAAUGCUUUACACAUGCAAGUCGAACGGCAGCACGGACUUCGGUCUGGUGGCGAGUGGCGAACGGGUGAGUAAUGUAUCGGAACGUGCCCAGUCGUGGGGGAUAACGUAGUGAAAAUUACGCUAAUACCGCAUACGAUCUAUGGAUGAAAGCGGGGGAUCGCAAGACCUCGCGCGAUUGGAGCGGCCGAUAUCAGAUUAGGUAGUUGGUGGGGUAAAGGCCCACCAAGCCAACGAUCUGUAGCUGGUCUGAGAGGACGACCAGCCACACUGGAACUGAGACACGGUCCAGACUCCUACGGGAGGCAGCAGUGGGGAAUUUUGGACAAUGGGCGAAGGCCUGAUCCAGCCAUUCCGCGUGCAGGAUGAAGGCCCUCGGGUUGUAAACUGCUUUUGUACAGAACGAAAAGGUUUCUACUAAUACUAGGAGCUCAUGACGGUACUGUAAGAGUAAGCACCGGCUAACUACGUGCCAGCCGCCGCGGUAA